GAGUUUGAUCUUGGCUCAGGAUGAACGCUGGCGGCGUGCCUAACACAUGCAAGUCGAACGGAGUUAUUCGAGGAAGUUUUCGGAUGGAAUUGAAUAACUUAGUGGCGGACGGGUGAGUAACGCGUGGGAAACCUGCCCUGUACCGGGGGAUAACACUUAGAAAUAGGUGCUAAUACCGCAUAAGCGCACAGCUUCGCAUGGAGCAGUGUGAAAAACUCCGGUGGUACAGGAUGGUCCCGCGUCUGAUUAGCCAGUUGGUAAGGUAACGGCUUACCAAGGCGACGAUCAGUAGCCGACCUGAGAGGGUGACCGGCCACAUUGGGACUGAGACACGGCCCAAACUCCUACGGGAGGCAGCAGUGGGGAAUAUUGCACAAUGGGGAAACCCUGAUGCAGCGACGCCGCGUGAGCGAAG
rnacentral:rRNA from 1 species